CGCGUGCGUUCGGCUACGCCCCGGAGAGCAGUAAUUGUACGGUGUUGCAGCUUCAACUGCAUCUGCCAUGGAGGCACGCGAAAUAUCAUCUUUUUAUCAUUCGCACUGUUAUUAAUUUAAUUCGCUACAAAUACAAGGUAUAUUUCUCACGCGGACCCUGAGCUUCAGGACAUCACAGUCGUAAACACAACCGGGACCACGCGAGAAUGAUAGAGAGAGAUCAGCUAACGGGUUCAGGAGACAAAUGGUGAGGCGCCAUGGCGCGUGAGCGAGGGUGAGGUACUGAGAGAGGAGCGGAGGGGGGAUGCGUCGAGACGUCGUCUGCGCAUCCCGUCGAGACUACGCUUUGAUCUGUUGGUGAAGGAUUGAGAGUGGCUAGAGGUGAUAUCACUAAAGAAACGCAUGGGUCAGCCAUCGCGAAGCUCAAUCUCAACCCGGCCCACGCCUCCGCCGCCAGUUUGACCAUUUGAAUGAACACGACAUACUUUACGACGUAUGAUACAAGAAUAUGGACAUACAAGAAGAGUUUCGUCCAUCAUCUGAGUUUAUAAGCUCUGUGGAAGUUUGUGGGGGGCUGUGUCGCGGUUUAUUUGCGCGUCCAGCGUUAAAAGCCGCGUCUGUACCUAGUACUAUUUAGCGAUUUUAUAUAGCGAGCGCCGCGGGACGGAAUUUCGACGGAUUUCUCGAUCAUACCCGAUGAACGCAUUCGCGUUUGGCUUCAAAUUAGGAAGUUAAUGUGUUGCGUUUUUCGAUAUUUUUUUUAAUUAGUCAAAAACACAAUCUAGUCCAAUGAAACGUCCCUCAGCUUCGAAGGGUUGUCCAGACUGGUGUCGUAGUUAUCAUUACCUAGAAGUUGCUGCAGCCUGGUUGCAAGUUAUUUAUGAUAAUACUUAACAUUUUCCCUCGAUUUUAAUCAGGAAAGAUAUAAAAUGCUUAUGAGAAUUGAUCCUUCAGAGAACGGGCUAAAAGUAAGAUUGCCUGAAAGAAUUGAUAACAGACACGAAAACAGGUGAUACCUAAAAGCUUUGCUAAAAACCACAACACAUUUAAAUCAGUCGCAUAGUGCGCACGCGCCUUACCACGUGGACAUAAAUUAAUUCACAAACGUAUGACAUUUGUUAUUUAUUUAAACGACUGUUUGCAUCAGAUAAUACGAUUCCCACAAUCAAAUAGUAUUUAAUUCCGCAAACUGCCUCGAAAGGUCAAAGACAGGAAGAGGUGUGCAGUUGUUGCGAUACGAAUUAAAAUGUCAUUUGUUUUUAUAUUAUUCAGUUAGAAAGUCUGCUUAAACAAUCGUUGAGAUCUGUGUGAAUGAUUAAAAUAUGUUUCUUUAUAUUCAUUUUGUUUUUAUAAAGUUUGUUGACAUAGGAAUAACGUUCAUUAUUACUAACAUUUACUCGUAAAUGUUAGUAAUAAUUUUUUAAUAAUAGUUUUUUAAUAAUUUAGUAAUAGUUUUACAACUAGCGGCCCGUCCCGGCUUCGCUCGGGUAAUUACAAAAUAAAAUAUAAGUACACCUAAACCUUCCUCAGGAUUCCUCAAACAUUCCUCAGGUUUUCAUCAAUAGACAACUUUAUCUAUUGAUGAAAACGCAUAAAAAUUCGUACAGUAGUUUUUGAGUUUAUCGCGAACAGACAGAUGCGGCAGAGAACUUUGUUUUAUAAUAUAUAUGGAUGGGAUUGAUAUUUGUUUCCCUAUCACGCGUUUACUGUAACGUUCCCCGAAUAUAAUUGCAUAUGUUAAUUUCUCUUUGAAAAUAAUUAUAUUUCAUAAUUAGUACUAAACUUUUUUUUUUAAAUUAUUCAAAAUCAAAAACAAUACGAAUGAUUUAUAUAGUAGUAUUAGAUAAAAAAGGUAAUAUGAAACAUGUCAAUGUACUCAAUUAUUUACUUAAAUAUUUUUAAGUUGACAAUGGUAUGAUGAUUCAGGAGUAUUCUCUCGUGCAUAAAAGAGAUUGGCGUGAGCUCACAAAUCACUUCUCCAGCCAAUAAAUUCACUCGGUCCAUUACAAUGACACCGACACAUGUAUCGCUGUCAAACGCAACAUUGUAGACGUUUACGCGACUGGCUGAAAAAGACAGUAUAGUUUUUCAGGAUUCAAUUGGGUACGCUUUUGAGGGCCUAUAUUUGGAAUUUUUAAUUGUAGACCACAAUUUAUUCGUACCACGUUAAAACUGCGUUUUUUUUGGCCUAUUUGAAAAUCCACUUGUUUUCUCUGUCGUCCUCCUUACUAUUUUCCCUCCGCCACGCUUCGACAUUGUAAUAACCAGACCAUUCAAAUUCAAAUUCAAAUUCAAAUCAUUUAUUCAGAAAUUAGACCUUCACAGGCACUUUUUCCCGUCAAUCUUUAUAUUUAUAGUUAUUUCUCACAAGCUACAAACUACUGGCAUUUCGGAACGACCACUGCCGAAAGAAACUCAUUUGAACAGUGUUGGUCCCUAUCAUGCCAGAUCGGCUUACCAUUAUUGUUUCUUACAAUGUUUUUUUUUUCUUCAUUGACACGCUGAUCUUCCUAGACUAUGUCAAAAAAUCUAAACUACUCGUAUAAUGAAGUUCAAAAGUGCUUUUGUUGUCUUAUUUAAUAAGUCGUAUAUGUAAAUCGCUUCUUACAGAUUAAAAUAUGAAGGCUGAAAAGACGUGCAAAUGCCGGGUGAAGAAUACGAGUCUGUAUGAUCUAGACUUUUGUCUAAAAGAAGGAAAUUUUAUUUUUAAUUCAAUGAUGUUUGUGUAAUUAGUUAUUAAUCGGUUAAUUUGGCUAUAUUCAAAAAUAAGUAUUUGUCCUCCCCGCACAGGAUGCAGACGUAAUGCAGACAAUCUCAGUCUAGACUCACAGAAAUAAUUGGCUGCAUUUAGCAGACGUCGGUAUAUUUAGUGCGGUAUAAUUAGACGUUGCUAAGUUAGGGCGGCCUUACGGGGCCUUGGUGGUUAGCCUAGCAAAGCCCGCGGGUUUGCUUGAUUAAGAAUCCUAAUUUUAUAAAUUAAAAUGUUAUCUCUAUAUGCUUUAUCGAGUUGUUAUCGUGAAGGACGUAGGCUACCUUUCAUCCCGGGACAAGUUCUCGUGGGAAAAUUACGCGAAAAAAACAAUAAAUAGCCAGCGAAUAUUGAAGGAAACAUAAUUUAGAGCACAGUGUUAUUGGAAUGGCCAUUUUUACUAGCUCAUAGCGGUGGCACCAGUCAACUUUGAUGUUGAUUUUAACCCGCGCGCCUCGUCUCCACCGUUUAGAUAAUAUGGCGUACUUUACGUUUUUCUGCGGUUAUAGUUAACGUCAAAAUUUACUUAUGCACCUCAGCUUUUUAUUCUUCUAAAACCAGCAAUAACAACAAAAAAAUAUUUGCUAAAAUAUACAAACACAUCAUUUCUGAAACGAUCGAACGAAUUGGAGCAUGUCCUGAAAAAAAUAGGAAAUAUUAGACACAAAAGCUUUGCGGAAAUAUAUUGAGUCAAGUCAUCCCAUCCACUCCACCCCUAGCCUGUAACGACUAUGAUAAAUGCCCAGUAGUAAUAUCAUAAAAUAUGAGCCUUAUAUACAAAUAGAUACUUCGUUCUAUAUAUGUUACACAUUUAGGUUUGACGUUAGGCAGGCAGCCGAUUCUUAAAAAAAUUAAAGGUUCUUCAAUACGCGGCCCAGGCCUCGGACGUCACAGCUGCGAAUGAAACCAGGAAUAUACGAGAGGAUAUUAAGAGAGAGACAUGACUCUGUUGAGGAGGAUGUAAAGGCGUUAGGGUUGGUCGCGAGUUUGACAGGAAAUACAGAUUGACAAGUCUGAUGUCGCAAUAUAUGUUUUCUUCCCACGAAGAAAAUGGGUCGUUCCUACGAGCGUGUCUAACGCCGCAGCUGCAUUAUUACAAAUGUUUCAAAUUUUAAAGAUCAGAAUCAAUUUUCUGACUUUAUGAAAUAAUUGACCUAUGCUUGGGUACCUAUUGUUUACAUAUUUGUUUUUAGAAAUCCCUUCCUCAAUUUUAUAUUUCAAAUAUAUUCAUUAUUUUAUUUUUAUUCAAUUGAAUUUGUAUCCCUUUUGACAUAGCCUGAAAAAUAGUCUGAUUGUUACUGAUUAUAGUCUACAAGAAUUCUUUCCGAGUUUCCUUCAAAGAUUGAGGGUUGCGUCAUGAAGCGUUGAUCAUAAACCUUACAGUUUAUGGUCUCUCUACCCAUAGAGCGGUCGUCAACACUCGUGACUGCAACUUAUUUAGUGAUGGGGCAAGUAUCGAUAAAUAGUGCCAAUAUAUAUUUUUUACUUUAUCGAACAUAAAAGUGGUGGACUUAUAUUGACAUAAUUAUGAAAAGGGGAACUGCAGUAAAAAGCUUAGUAAAUGAUUAAAAUGAACAAAAGGAGCUAGGAGAUGAACAAAAGGAGCUAGGAGAUGAACAAAAGGAGCUAGGAGAUGAACAAAAGGAGCUAUUAAACACUGUUACAAACAAAUACUAGGAACACUGGAGCCAAAUUUCAUCAAAAUAAUAGUAGUGGUUUUUGUUUCGUUGCAAAAAUAAUAAAAAGUAAUUCCUAUUUAUAAUCCUCGCAUAUUAUACGAAGUGUCCGUUUCGCGUCUGUCUGUAUGAACUCAAAAACUACCGGACGGACUUUUGCACGGUUUUCACUAAUAGAUAGUGUGGUUUUUGAGGAAAUUUUAGGUGUAUAAUUUAAUAUGGUUUUACCUGAGCGAAGCAGGGACAGGUCACUAGUUUUUUUAUAAAAAAAAAAACAACAGAUGAAAGCAAUAGAAAAAUAAGGGGAUAUCAAGUUUGUGUCUCAUCUCUGUCGUAUCACUAAUUGGCAGAAAUGCCGCCUAGACACUUCAGGGUGAUUUACAAGGGAUGAGAGCAGUACAACGGCCAUAACCCCAAGAUUCAAGGGAUGCUUGCCAAGUUCCGACAUCCAGUUAUGACGUUAUGAAGUCUGAGAGGACAGUGAACCCAAUGUCACGGUCAAGUGGACAGUAUAGUGCUCUGCUUGAUGGAUACAUUAUUUGAGCAAUGGAGUCCAGAAGCGAACUCAUGAGUGGAUGGAUGUAGAAGUAUGUAAAAAGGUAUGCUAGCCUCCACAUAAAAUUGUCAAUUUAAGAUAAGUUUAAUUUUAAGAGAAUGUAUUUAUAAACUAGUUGUACGGCGUGAACUUGACCUCGCGAACACAUUAAAUUUUUACAAAACUGUGAAUUGUAUUUCUGUACUGUACUUCAAAAACGGCUUAACCGAUUUUAUUGCUCCACGAACUUAAAAUUCUAUUGGCAGAUCCUACAUACCUUUUAAAUUUCAUCAAAAUCGGACCAACGGUUCGAAAGUUAUCGCGUUACAAACACACAUACAUACAAAAGUGUAUAUUUGCCCAAAGUAGAAUUGUAGAUCUCGCUCGCACAGUCAAUGAUAAUAUGGACUGUUUGUCUGAAAUAAACAAUUUUAGUAUGCUUCCCAUCAGGCUAGAUUGAAGUCAAAUUUUCUGAUGCUGAUAAUUGGGUGGUUUGUAAAGGGCGAUGAUGAUCACAUGUUUUGAUGUCCCCACUGCUGGAGUAUUUGCCUCCGCAAUUACGACAGUGGCUUAUCCGCCAUUGCGCUAUUGACCUCUAUAAUGAUUACCGCUAAAAGCUGACGCAUUUAUUUUCAACUAUCUGAUUAAACACAUGUGGUCUCAUGGUUAAGUCGAAAGCAGGAGAGAUUGUGAUUUUCUAGAUCAUUUUGUAUGACAAAAUUAAACAAUAACUAAGGUCGUUGUCAGGUCUUGGAUGGGUGGGCGAGACUCCCGACCUCGCUGAUAUGGGCACGGCAGAUUCGCUACGAUUAUUUAUCGUCGAUGCCAAUCAUGUGAGCAUAUUUUGUAAUAUAUGAUCGAAUGAGUCGUCGCAUAAUGUCUCGCUAAAUUAAAAACAUGGUAUUAGAUAGAAGAAUUGCGUCAUCGAAUUAGAGAGCGUGCGAAAGUUAGGAAAUAUUCAAGAUUUGAUAAAUUAAUAAUUAAUAAAUUUUAAUAAUUUUA